AAGAACCUUACCAGGCCUUGACAUACUCGGCAAAGCUCUAGAGAUAGAGUGAGGGUUUAUCCGGGGAUACAGGGUGGUGCAUGGUUUGUCGUCAGCUCGUGUCGUGAGAUGUUGGGUUAAGUCCCGCAACGAGCGCAACCCUUGUCUUUAGUUACCAUCAUUCAGUUGGGGACUCUAGAGAGACUGCCGGUGAUAAACCGGAGGAAGGUGGGGAUGACGUCAAAUCAUCAUGCCCCUUAUGGCCUGGGCUACAAACGUAAUACAAUGGCGUAUACAAAGGGAUGCGAAAGGGCGACCUGGAGCAAAAACUCACAAAGUACGUCUCAGUUCAGAUUGGAAUCUGCAACUCGACUCCAUGAAGGCGGAAUCGCUAGUAAUCGCGGAUCAGCAUGCCGCGGUGAAUACGUUCUCGGGGUUU
rnacentral:rRNA from 1 species